GGGGAAUAUUGCACAAUGGGCGAAAGCCUGAUGCAGCAACGCCGCGUGAGUGAUGAAGGCCUUCGGGUUGUAAAGCUCUGUCUUUUGGGACGAUAAUGACGGUACCAAAGGAGGAAGCCACGGCUAACUACGUGCCAGCAGCCGCGGUAAUACGUAGGUGGCAAGCGUUGUCCGGAAUUACUGGGCGUAAAGAAUGCGUAGGUGGAUAUGCAAGUCAGAUGUGAAAUACCCGGGCUCAACUUGGGUGCUGCAUUUGAAACUAUAUAUCUAGAGUGCAGGAGAGGAAAGCGGAAUUCCUAGUGUAGCGGUGAAAUGCGUAGAGAUUAGGAAGAACACCAGUGGCGAAGGCGGCUUUCUGGACUGUAACUGACACUGAGGCAUGAAAGCGUGGGGAGCAAACA
rnacentral:rRNA from 1 species